rnacentral:rRNA from 1 species
GGGCGAAGCCCUGACGCAGCAACGCCGCGUGAGUGAUGAAGGCUUUCGGGUCGUAAAGCUCUGUCAGAGGGAAAGAAGUGUAUUGUGGCUAAUAUCCUCCAUACUUGACGGUACCCCCAAAG